UACGUAGGGUGCGAGCGUUGUCCGGAAUUACUGGGCGUAAAGAGUUCGUAGGCGGUUUGUCGCGUCGUCUGUGAAAACCCAUCGCUCAACGAUGGGCCGGCAGGCGAUACGGGCAGACUUGAGUACUGCAGGGGAGACUGGAAUUCCUGGUGUAGCGGUGAAAUGCGCAGAGUAUCAGGAGGAACACCGGUGGCGAAGGCGGGUCUCGUGGG
rnacentral:rRNA from 1 species